rnacentral:rRNA from 1 species
UACAGAGGGCGCGAGCGUUGUCCGGAAUCACUGGGCGUAAAGGGCGCGUAGGUGGCCACUAUAAGGCUGCGGUGAAAGUUCGGGGCUCAACCCCGAAUCUGCCGCGGCGACUGUAGGGCUUGGGCACCGUAGAGGCAGAUGGAAUUCCGGGUGUAGCGGUGGAAUGCGUAGAGAUCCGGAAGAACACCAGUGGCGAAGGCGGUCUGCUGGGCGGUGGGAGCGCAAGCUCCUCUUAGCCGACACUGAGGCGCGACAGCGUGGGGAGCAAACAGG